AACCUCCGCAAUGUGAGAAAUCGCGACGGGGGGAUCCCAAGUGCCAUUCUUAACGGGAUGGCUUUUCAUUAGUGUAAAGAGCUUUUGGAAUAAGGGCUGGGCAAGACCGGUGCCAGCCGCCGCGGUAACACCGGCAGCUCUAGUGGUAGCAGUUUUUAUUGGGCCUAAAGCGUCCGUAGCCGGUUUAAUAAGUCUCUGGUGAAAUCCUGUAGCUUAACUGUGGGAAUUGCUGGAGAUACUAUUAGACUUGAGACCGGGAGAGGUUAGAGGUACUCCCAGGGUAGAGGUGAAAUUCUGUAAUCCUGGGAGGACCGCCUGUUGCGAAGGCGUCUAACUGGAACGGUUCUGACGGUGAGGGACGAAAGUUAGGGGCGCGAACCGGAUUAGAUACCCGGGUAGUCCUAACCGUAAACGAUGCGGACUUGGUGUUGGGGUGGCUUUGAGCUGCUCCAGUGCCGAGGGGAAGCUGUUAAGUCCGCCGCCCGGGAAGUGCGGUCGCAAGACUGAAACUUAAAGGAAUU
rnacentral:rRNA from 1 species